CAUUCGUGCAUCGUUUAAAGAUCGUUUCUAUAAGGAAGCAUCGUAAAAUAUAAGAGGCUAUACUUUCAUAUUUUUAUUUUAUUUAUUUACUUUUAUUUUUCCUUUCCAAUAGAACAUUUCACGUCAUUUUUAUUUCGCGAUAGAACCUAAAGAAGAUUAAAUAACUUAAUGGAAAUAAAUUAUUUCGUAAGAUGUAGGAUUAUCGAUCGAUCGAAAUCUAUUCGUUGUUCAUCCUUCUGAAAACGGAAGCCAGAUCCAAAAACGGAGAAGAACUCGACCUUUGAUAUAUCCGUUCUCGAGUCGUCACGCUCUUGGCACAUGUUUCUUCUUCUUCGUCUACUUCUUCUUCUUCUUCUUCUACGUCUUCUUCUUUUUCUUCUUCUUCUUCUUCUUCUCCUUCCCUCGUCUUUUUCUAUUUUCUUACAUAGCUUACAUAUUCGCCAAUGCCAAGGUUACGAGACGAGCAAACAAUCGAGUUGGAAUCGGCCAAUCCGAACACGUACGUUUCGUGUUUGCUUAUGCGCUGACGAGCUCGCUGGACGGUGCGAGCCAAUGUACCUAUGUAUGUACGUAUGAGUUAAACUUAACAAAGACGAGAUCUAAGACGUAUAGACGUCAUUUUUUAUAAUAGAACGCAGAUCUUUUUAAUCUUUUUCAACGAAACAAGAACAGAUUGUAAAGAGAGGACGUUAAGCUAAUUCGUAUGUUACGUUCACGUGUAUUAGAAAAGUCUUAGUCGAUGUAACAUAUAACUUGUUCAAAUUUUUAAAUUUCUUCAAUUAUUAAAUUCGAUUGUAAUCGUCUAGUAGAAUUUGAUAUAAAAGGAGAAGGAAGAAAGGAGAAUAAGUAAGCGAAAGAAGUAAAGUUUUUAUAAAGCGUCUACGUACGUACACGAGGUCCGAUCGUAUUUUCGACUACUUUGAAAAGUAUUUCUCAGGUACAGACCUCGUCAUUCCCAACGUCUCGACGAAGUCGUCACGCACCUGCGUAACUCUGUGUACGGUUCGAUCAAUAAUCGUAUACGAUGAUCUUUCUUGACCUCUGGGUGGGGUCGUUGGAUAGGAGAGAUGGUAGGGGGUGAAAGGAGAUGCGGGGUGAGGCGGUUGUAUCUGGUCAGUCAACUCGUGGACACGAUGAGGAAAGACGUUCGAAUAAUUAAUUUCUAUUUCUGCUUACGGUCGUCCGAUCGUUAUAUAGCCUAUUGAAAAUUGACAUUCUUUUCAAGUACCGAUCGAUUGAUCGAUCGAUCCAUCGAUCGAUCGUAAGAAAUAUGUUCUAGAGACGAUUUAUGGAUUCGUGGAUAUUAUAUAUAUAUUUUUUUUAGAUCAAAUGAAAUAGAACAGUUUAUUAAAAUCCUAAGUCCUACGAGUGAUAUCCGCACGAUUGUCUUGUAUAUAUGUAUAAUAAAUGUGCAUAUAUAGGCGUGUAUGCGUAAAUGUGUUUAAAAACCUGUAUUUUGUAGGAGAGAUAGCGGUUGUAUUAUAUGUUAUAUUUUUUUUUCUGUUUUUUCAUAUUCAUUUUUUGUUUGUUCAUUUAUUUAUUUAUUUUUUAUUUUCUCCGUCUCUCUCUCUCUCUCUUUCUCUCGAUACAUACGAUACAAAUGCAUGCGGUCUCUAUUAGUUGGAGAACGAAGAAGAUGCUGCUCUCGACUCGUUAACCGGAAUUAGGACGGCAUUAGAAGCGGCGACAUCUCUCUCUCUCUCUCUCUCUCCCUCUCUCCCUUCUUAUUUCUCUCUUUCUCGAACGAGAUAAAAUUUCGCGAGGAAAUAGAAACGGGGAGAAAAAAGUAUGGAUAACGUAAUGAUACUCGUCGCGGAUGAGAUAUAAUGAAAGAGUCGGAAGAAAGAGAUGGAUAAAGAAAGGGAAACGAGAGCUUGAAUUAUUUACUUCUUGGAAUCCCAACAGGGAAGGAAGAAAAGAGAAGUGGGAGAAAAAAAAUAAAUUAAAGUUUACUCUUUAUUUUUCAAUAUGCACAUUAUAGACAUAUCUAUAUAUAAUAUUACAGACACACUAUAAUAUAUUUCUUAAACCAAAACUUUUUUAUAAAUUAAAUUAAUAAUGAUUUCUAUUUUUAUAAUAAUUUUUUUUUUGAUAAUAAUUCUUUUAUAAAUGAAAUUAUAAAUAAUUUAUACCAAUAUUUAUACCAAAAAAGAGAAAAGCAGAAAAAAAAAGGAAGAAAAAACGAAUCACCUUUUCGCAAAUGUCAUCCGUUCCAUCAGUCAGUCACAUGUUGGAAUUUAUUAAUCGAACAUACGGUAUCUCGUUUGCAAUCGAAGCGGACUGUGACCGAGGUCGUUCAUUAAUUAUCGCUCAUAACCGUUCACGUUAUUUCCAAUCGAUUUCGACGUGCUCCUCGUCUCUGGAUAAAAAUGACCAAGUCUCCCUCUCACUCUCUCUUUACCAGUCGUAAUUCUUCGAGCUGACGAUAGGUUUCAGCGAAGGAAAAAUGGGAAACCGGUAUUCGUAUUAGUAUCGAACGAUGGAUAUUGGCUGACUGUGAAAGGAUAGAAAAGGGAUAGACGACGAAGGAAGAAAAAGGAAGAAGAAAGAAAAGAAGGAGGAGGAAGACUAAAAAGAGUUAAAAAAAGAAUAAGAAGAGAAGAAGGGUGCUUUUCGUGCUGGCCACGACGAAAUAUGGGAGAGAUAAAUAUCAUCGUAGCGUGGUGUGUCGGUAAAUAACGGUAGAUUUAGCAAUUUCAUUAAGCCGGAGCUUGGGAGAGCAAAUCGAACGCGGUUCUCUCUUCCGAUAGAAAAGUUCCGCGCUUAAAGCAUCUUACUUGUUCCCUUCCCUAUAUCUUUCUCUCUUUCUAUACAUAUAUAUAUAUAUAUAUAUAUAUAUACAUACAUACAUAUAUACCCCUCUCAGAAAGUACCACAGCUAUCCCACGGCACGUACGAAGUGAAGUUACAAACGUUUAAUGGUCGCUUUUCCGCACGGUUUCUUCCCCCUUUUCUCCUUUUUCCUAUUUCCUUUUUCCCUCUCUUUCUCUGUCCGUCUUUCUCUCUCUACGUUUCUCGCUAGUUUUCCUUUUCAGCUUUUCUCUUGUUCUUUAAUUCGGCAUACGACUCUAACGGGGGUGACUCUCUUCUACCAUCUUGCUUUUUUAAUAUCCGACGUAGUAAAAAUUUCCACUUUCUCAUCGGGCUGUAAAUCCCUUUUUUCUUCUUCUUCUUCUUCUUCUUUUUUGUCCCGUAUAAAACAACUACAGAUCGUAAAGCGAAUCGUCACUUUUACGAUUUACUUUUGAACGUCAAUAAACCAAUGAUGGAGAAACGUCGAUGGAGUAAACGAUAUUUAAAAAAAAGAAAAAAAAAAAUACAAAACUUGGUGACAGGGGAAGACAAACCGAAGGCAAAAGGAAAGGGAAAAAAAAAAUCGAAAGGAUACUUUUUGCUCUAGGAUGAAGCAAUUUGAUUUUCAUCGUACGGUAUCUCGCGAUGUUUCGAUGAUUUAAAAAAAGAAAAAUAUAUAUAAAAAAAAAGAAAAAUAAUGAUUAAACAAAAAAAAGAAAAACAAAGAAAAAAAAAGACAGAAAAGAAAAAAGAAAUGUUUAUCGGACCGAGACGAGACGGGCGUUAGAGGAGAAAAUUGAUUUCAAGCUGGUCGAAAAGAAUUUUCUAUUUUCGCGUAGAGAGUUGCCCGUUCGAUAUAUCGACGUGUUAUAGAAGGAGGACCGGUGGGAAAUCAAAUCUCCCGCCGUGAUAAUUGGUCGGCAUUGAUUAACCAACGUGAUUGUAGGCUUCCGCAAGGUCUGUACGAGGAUAGAGAGAGAUAGAUAGAGAGAGAGAGAUAGAUAGAUAGAUAGAUAGAUAGAUAGAUAGAUAGAUAGAUGGAGAGAGAGAGAGAGAGAGAGA